AUUUAAAUAACUUAAGUUUAAGAGUAUAAUAUUGAAGAUAUUAAAGUGAUCAUAUGAUCUUUAAAUA
rnacentral:tRNA from 1 species